rnacentral:lncRNA from 1 species
GUCAAAACCAAAGCCAGGGCUUCUAACCAUAGCACUUGGUCUCAAGGUCCUCUUCCUGAUGUCUUUCAGAACUCCAGGAAAGAAACUUGCACUCGCUGUACAAAGGCUAACAGAGUCAUCGCCAUGCUGAAUCAGACACACAGGAUGCACAGGAAUGAAAUCACUUCAAACAAAACUACGUUAAAAAGAGGCAAAGAAAGCCCCCAUAUCUAAUAUCCUCAUGCCCAG